rnacentral:rRNA from 1 species
CAAUGGGCGCAAGCCUGAUCCAGCAAUGCCGCGUGCAGGAUGAAGGCCUUCGGGUUGUAAACUGCUUUUGUACGGAACGAAAAGCCCUGGGUUAAUACCCUGGGGUCAUGACGGUACCGUAAGAAUAAGCACCGGCUAACUACGUGCCAGCAGCCGCGGUAAUACGUAGGGUGCGAGCGUUAAUCGGAAUUACUGGGCGUAAAGCGUGCGCAGGCGGUUUUGUAAGACAGAGGUGAAAUCCCCGGGCUCAACCUGGGAACUGCCUUUGUGACUGCAAGGCUAGAGUACGGCAGAGGGGGAUGGAAUUCCGCGUGUAGCAGUGAAAUGCGUAGAUAUGCGGAGGAACACCGAUGGCGAAGGCAAUCCCCUGGGCCUGUACUGACGCUCAUGCACGAAAGCGUGGGGAGCAAACAGGAUUAGAUACCCUGGUAGUCCACGCCCUAAACGAUGUCAACUGGUUGUUGGGUCUUAACUGACUCAGUAACGAAGCUAACGCGUGAAGUUGACCGCCUGGGGAGUACG